GCCAGCAUGGCAUAGUGGUUUGAGUGCUGGACUACAACUCUGGAGACCAGGGUUUGAUUCCCCACUUGCC
rnacentral:tRNA from 1 species